UAAGGAAUAUUGGUCAAUGGACGCAAGUCUGAACCAGCCAUGCCGCGUGAAGGAUGAAGGUCCUCUGGAUUGUAAACUUCUUUUAUCUGGGACGAAAACGGGAUUUUUAUCUCAAUUGACGGUACCAGAGGAAUAAGCACCGGCUAACUCCGUGCCAGCAGCCGCGGUAAUACGGAGGGUGCGAGCGUUAUCCGGAUUUACUGGGUUUAAAGGGUGCGUAGGUGGGCUUAUAAGUCAGUGGUGAAAUCUCCGAGCUUAACUUGGAAACUGCCGUUGAUACUAUAGGUCUUGAAUUAUCUGGAGGUAAGCGGAAUAGGUCAUGUAGCGGUGAAAUGCUUAGAUAUGACAUAGAACACCAAUUGCGAAGGCAGCUUACUACAUAUAAAUUGACGCUGAGGCACGAAAGCGUGGGGAUCAAACA
rnacentral:rRNA from 1 species